rnacentral:rRNA from 1 species
AGAGAGAGACAUGCGCGCAUAUCAAUAAGCGGAGGAAAAGAAACUAACAAGGAUUCCCUUAGUAACGGCGAGUGAAGCAGGGAAGAGCUCAAAUUUGAAAUCUUCAAGGUUCUACCUUGACGAAUUGUAGUUUAAAGAAGUGUUUUCGGUUAGAUGGAGUAGUCAAAAGUUCUUUGGAAUAGGACAUCAUAGAGGGUGAGAAUCCCGUAUUUGACCUAUUAUUUUCAGCUGUGUGAUACACUUUCAAAGAGUCGGAUUGUUUGGGAAUGCAGUCCAAAAUGGGUGGUAAAUUUCAUCUAAAGCUAAAUAUUGGCGAGAGACCGAUAGCGAACAAGUACCGUGAGGGAAAGAUGAAAAGAACUUUGAAAAGAGAGUUAAACAGUACGUGAAAUUGUCAAAAGGGAAGCGUUUGACACCAGUGUUGUUUUCUCGAAAAUCAAUUAAAAAGUGGAUUCAUGCUAGGUAGUAUUUGACUUCAUCAGCUUUCUGCACUUAGUUUUGGUUCUUUUUUAAUGCACUUUUCGUUUAACAAGUCAACAUCAAUUUCUUUUGUUGUAAAAGAGUCAUUGGAAGGUGGCUUUCACUUCGGUGAAAGUGUUUAUAGCCUUUGACUUCUGCAAUCGGAGAGAUUGAGGUCUGCAACGUAGAUCCUUCGGGGUUAGAUACAUUUGUGCUAAGUUAUAGUUUUUCAUAGACAACAUGUUGACUAUGAUUAAUCAUGUAGCUUACUCGCUUAUGCUAUUUUACCUACGCUUAGGAUGUUGACAGCAGUAUAGACUGU